rnacentral:tRNA from 1 species
UCUAACGUGGCAGAUAAGUGCGGUGGAUUUAAGCUCCAUAAAUAAAGUUUUCAACUUUCAUUAGAA